rnacentral:rRNA from 1 species
UACGUAGGGUGCGAGCGUUGUCCGGAAUUAUUGGGCGUAAAGGGCUCGUAGGCGGUUUGUCGCGUCUGCUGUGAAAACUGGAGGCUCAACCUCCAGCCUGCAGUGGGUACGGGCAGACUAGAGUGCGGUAGGGGAGAUUGGAAUUCCUGGUGUAGCGGUGGAAUGCGCAGAUAUCAGGAGGAACACCGAUGGCGAAGGCAGGUCUCUGGGCCACUACUGACGCUGAGAAGCGAAAGCAUGGGGAGCGAACAGG